rnacentral:lncRNA from 1 species
GGACAUUUAGCUUAUAAUUGAAAACAAACGCAUAAACAAACAGAAUCCCUUUGUUUCCAGUUACAAAAGAAUGAGAAGGCAAGAAAUCAAAGAAAACUGUUUAUGAUAUGAUGCAACCAAAGAUCUGUUAUUUGUUGAGAAAUACUCAGCAUCAAAACCAAAGUUUGUCAACCUUGGAUGAAAGACAACAGAAACAAGAAGAAUCGGCACAAUGGUCGAAGUUGACAAUGGAGACAUUUGUCUUUGUGGUCAUGACAUUUGAAAAUUUGCAAUUUAAGUAUUUUUAGGUAGGGUAUAAUGAAAAUUUUGAAUAAUCUGGUCUUUAUUGCAAUUAGUCUAGCCUUUUCCACUUCAGAUACAAAGUGUUGGGAAAACAAUGUAUUCUUUUGGGACAUUUGAGUUUCCAAUGGAUAGCAAGAAUUGUGGAUUAGCAAAAAAAAAAAAAAAUUUCAAUCCGAUACUUCAAUACGAGAAAUGUCAAUUUGGGAAGACAUCUAGGAAACCAUGUUGAUGGAAUUGCAAUUGAUCAAGUCAAACUUGAACUUGUUAUAGCACAAUAUAUCCACAGCUAAAAUGUAGAUGGAUAUUCAAUAAUUCUGGGUGGAUGGCCUAAUUCAUUAAUCCAGUAGAGCAAUAUACUGGUGGAGGAUUAAUAAUAUUCAUAACAAGGCAACUUCGUAUCACAUUUAGUGACUGUAUCUUCAAAUGAAUAAUGCUAGAAUUUUUUUCUCAAUUAAAACAUAAAAUAAAAAUUAUUAUAUAAAAUGGGAUGCAUACUGAUGACAAAUGACUCAACACUUGCAUUGGACUUGAAAUGAACAGCAAGUAAUGUACAUAAAUUACAAUGAAGGUUUUGUAGAAUUUUUUUUAUUCUUUUCCAUUUUCUCUUUCUUUCUUAUGCCCUUUCAUAUGUUUGGUGGUAAUUGCUAAAUAUUACUCCUUAACUUUAAAUGAUUAUAUGUUGUGUUUUAGUCCAUAUAAUUUGAAUUCAUGGUAAAUGAUCUAUUAACAACUACAGUUUCAAAAAAAUGAUCCAUCAACAACUUGUGCAUUCUGGCCGAAAGAACUCAAACCUUUAACAUGAACACUAGCAUCAGAAGUACAAUCAGUACAACCAUGCCAUAAAAGCAGCCAAACACAUGAUGGUUUCCUACUUUCCAUUGCCCAUAACAUUUAAGGUAGUUAACAUGAAAAAAAGAAAAAGAGGUUGCAGCCCAGAUUAUGCUGCACAAUGUACCUUGUGAACCUUUCCUCUUGCAGAGUAAUGGUUGAUAACUGGGAGAUUCAAUUUCCUGAAAACUUUCAGACGUUUCUUUAUCGUUUCUAUAUUGUCAUCAAUGCGGCCCUGAGUAUGAGUAAAAAAACACAUACUAUUAGCAAUGAUGAAAAUAUUCCAAAUUAUAAAUGCUGAAAAUAUUCCAAAUUCUAAAUGCUAACACUCCCAAUAUAAAGCAAGAAUACCAACCUCAUUACGGCUAAGAACCCGUCUUACCAUCUCUUCCUCAGGACACUCAAAAUAUAGUACAAAGACCGGUUCUACUCCAAUCUGUAAGUCAGACAAUGGAUAAUUAAAACAGUGAAAUAAACAACAAUUAAACACAUUUAAAAUAUUACAUAAUUGUCUUGGUAAUACACCAGGAACUAUAUAAUAAAUUGGAAACUUUUACGUUACUCAUAUGCUUUGCAUGCUUCAGCACCUUGUAUCCACAAAUUAAAUUUGUAUGCGUGGAUAAACAUGUAUAUAAGAAGUUAAAAACAAUUAAGGGUGUGUCUAUGUAACUUAGACAAUCCUUUUGAAUAUCUUCCAUUGUUUAUCCACAUGCAAUUUAUACAAUCUCUAAUCUUAUUUCCAAAUAAGCCCAUACCUUUCACUUUGUGCUCUUAAGGUGGGUGUGUCUAUGUAACUUAGACAAUCCUUACGAAUAUCUUUCAUGGUUUCUCCACAUGCAAUUUGUACAAUCUCUUAUCUUCUUUCCAAAUAAGUCCAUACGUUUCACUUUUGCAAAUUUCCCCUUUUAUGCACUUUAUUCAAGUCAAAUAAACCUAAGGUUGAAAGAAAAUGGCACAUGCCUACUUGAGGAAUAAUACCAACAUAGAGAAUAUAAAGGCACACAUUAGAAAAUGGCACAUUCCUACUUGAGGAAUAAUACCAACAUAGAAAAUAUCAAGGCACACAUUUUCAAUUCAUGUCCCUGCCCUUCUACAACUUAUCAAGAGACCUAUGUGCCACUUAUCAAGAAGACAAAAAUAUUCAGGAAAUUUGGUGCAAGAUAAUAUUGAUAUUUCACCAAGCCACUUGAGCAAUGGAAAAUUCUGAACAGCAUGUGUAUCUAUAGACUAGCAGAAAAGAGAGUUAAUUAACAUAAGGCCAUUCCACGAUCUCUUUUGCAGAUAAAGUUUUUUGACAAGUGUUUUGUAAAGAGAGCACCAUGCAAUUUGUGUGGCUAGAGGGGGGGGGGGGGGGGGGUCUAAAAGCUCCAUUACACAUAAAAGAAGAGCCUGAGCAUUGUCAAAGUGUUGUACCUUCAAUAUGUAGUAACAUGUUGGAAGUGUACUAUUUGAUUUCUAUCAUACAAUAAAACGUGAUAGAAAUCCAAGGAUUAGAAGAACAGAGUAAGGAUUUCUACAUAACAAAACUCCAAUAUCCAUACCCCAAAAAGUUUCUUUUUUUUGUAGGGAAAAGAAAGAGCAAUGGUCAGAAAACAUUUUCAGAUUAGAAUAAUUCCACAUAAAAUUUCUAAAUGCCCAGUGAACUUGACAAGAAAGAGAGACCACAAUAAAAGAAGAGAAGUUUUCUGGAUGACGUUUAAUUAUACAUGAAACAUUUUUAACUUUGACAAAGUUUAUUAUAGCCACCUUUGAUAAGUUUUACCUCUACAUGCAGCUAAUUUCAGUAAGAACAAUUAAGGAAGCCUCUUAAGGCAAAUUGUGUUAGUGUAGAAUGGUUUUUAUGAUAAAAGGUUUCUGCAUGCAACCAAGAAAUUUGGUGGAAUUACAUUGAUGAGAUCUAACAAGUAUUUUUGUAAGUUUCGAGCAAACCACAAGAGAAGAUCUUCCAAGGAAUUCAACAUAAUGGGUAGAUAAGCUAUGUAUGUUCGGUCUAUCUCUUAGUGCAGCAUGCUUUUGGGGUUCAUCCUCACCUCUAACUACUAUAAUCCAAAGAAGAAAGGACCAAUUAAUUCACAGCCCUAUCAAUUUUUACACACUUGAUAUCAGAACCCAAAGUUAAUGUCUCCAGAGUUACCUUUUCGCAACAACAAAUACAAGUUCAAAGGAUUAAAGAAAACGAAGUUCUUUAGGAGUUUCCAAGUAGGACUAGAGGGGUAAUAAAUAAAACACAAACUAUGGUUCCUUCAAUCUUUCAAGGGAAUCAUUGCAUUAAGGUCCUCAGAAAUACAGAAGCACUGAUGUUGUAUAACAGUAUUUCGUCUAGCAAUCUACUUCUCAGAUCAGACCAGACCAUGACCUUAAACUAUAUAACAAUACAAGCUUUCCAACAAAAUCUUCCGGCCCAGUCGAAAAGGAAUAUAACUUAAUUAUAAAAAGAUAAAAAGAGGAAUAUAACUUCAAGGAGAUUUCUAACCUGCUGAUUUCUCAUAAAUAUUGAACUGGAUUGAUGUUCUGAACAAGUAGCUGAACUCCUAAUAUGACAGCUACUACAAGAAUGCUAUUCCAUUAACAGAAAAGACACGGGAUUCAGGUCAGAGGUGGCAAGGAUCUAAGUUUCAAAUUGUCCAUUUUGCAGUUCUUACAAAGAUAGCAACAUCACCACAACAACGUUCAGGGCUAUGUUCACGCACGCAUAAAAUCAGGACAAUCAAACGGUUUAUUCACUUUUCUACAUUAUCCCCACUAUAUCGACUGGGACAUGCGAAUUGGAGUAUGUGGUUUUGACCUGGUCACAUUGCCAGUAUCAAAAGCGUAAGGUGGCAGAAUUUCUGGGUUUCUUCACUGCAGAGAUACAAAAAUGCAGAAGAGAGAGUGGCCUCUAAAAUACUACUAGCAUCUGGUAGGAAUCUUCAUUUUCUUGUAUUAUGCUUAAAACAUUUGGAAAAUUGUCAGACAUUGCAAAAGACAAGGUGCCAACAUAGAUGCUCAAACUGGUUUAAGAUAAGGAAACACCACCAGAAAACUUCUCACCCACUGAUCAGAUCCAAGAAGAAAGAAAACGUAAGAGCAUGCUUUACUGGCUCAUCGAAAACUUCUCCUCACCAACCCAAGAUCAAAGAAAAUGACCUAAACUUUCAAAUUUCUCAUGAGAACAGAUAUUUUUAGGCAGCAAUUACCUUCCGCUUAAGAUGCAGUGUGCUUCAGAGCAACACAAAUAAGAGAUAUAUAGAAACUUGGAAAUGAGAUUCGAAGCUUCUCCAAAUGAACUCCAAAAGAAGCAAUCAAGAAUUAUUAAGUGAUAAUUUCUUUUUGAACACUUUUUUGUCCUAAAACUCAGUAGAACCCUUAUCAACACAAACGAAGUUGCCUCACUCAAGAAUCGAAUAAGACAUGAGAUGAGUCCAACUGUUGGGGGGGGGAAGAAAAAAAGCUAAAAGAAAAAGUGACAGAAACGAAUGAUUUUGCUCACCAAGAAAUUUUCACACACUACACUAAUCAUGGUAUGAUCUAUGUUAAAUAGACACGGCCAUAGGUUCCUAUUUAUGACAAGAAUACGAGUGUUGGAAACGUGAACCCUAAAAAAUUACAUCUAGACACGACACGUCCGUACAAUAUAUAAAUAUCUAAAUAAAUGAGUACGUCGACAUAUAAAUAUCUUAAAAUCUAUGUGUAGUUUGCAUCUGCAUUUAAUUCAUGUCAUAUAACAAUAGUAAAACAUCCAAAAAAUAAAAACAAUUAAAUUAAUAAUCCAAAAAAGACUACUUUGUGAAUCUGAAUUUUGUGCAUCAAAAUUUCUUAUAAACCAAUCAAAGGUUGCAUUAUAACCAAUCACAAGGUGCAUUAUAACUAGUAAAAGUCAAUUAGUAGCACAAGACAAGGUACAAUACAAUUGAUGCCAUUAAUAGCAAAAAAGAUAAAACAAUACGCACAAGGCACAACGAGAAUGGAAGAGAGAAAAGUUGAAGAAGAAAGAUGAAUAUCUAGUGGUCCACAGCUUGAAACGGGAGAAAACAACAGUCCACAGGCAUGAAGAAGGAGAAACCAAUGGUCCACAAAGGGAGAAACUAGUUGCGGAGGAAGGAACCAUAGAAAGUUUCAGAGUAGUUGAAAUAAAUCAUAUUUUUUAAUUAUAGUACCAUUAAUUUAUGGAAACCUUAAUUUAACAAAUAAAAAUAUUUUUUAUUUUUUAUUCUAAACUACUUAUUUUAUUCUAAAAUAUUUUUUACUUUUAAAAUAAAAUACUUUUCAAUGAAGAUUCCAAAAACGGAAACAUCACUUUCAAAAAAAGAAAUGCGUCUAAAAAAAGGGAUACGGUAGUGGACACUUAAUAGAGGUGUCGUACGUGUGCCCAAGAUUGUCGACAUGUGUGCCGGUGUCCGCCAAGUGUCGACACAUGGUUAAACCUCAAGACACGUGCGUCUAUGUUUCUUCAAGUAUGAUUAUGCGAGCAAGUAGUUAUUCAAAAGAAAAUCACACCAUUCUCAAGCUUUCAGAGCAUACAAUACAAAUUAAUGCACUAAGCCCAAGCUCAAAAAAUUGACAAAAUAUCUUUGCAGAGAAUCUUUUCACUGAAAUGCAUUUUGGGCUUUAUCGUCUAUAUUUCAUUUACAUAACAAUCAUUCCCUUGUGCCAUCUAUUACUCUAUGCAUUCAAAUGCAACCUCUGGUAAUAAGGUAAUGAAAUUAACUAAACAUCAACUAACCAAGGCAAAGAGUCUACAUCCCUUUGAACCUUUUUGUGAAGAAUUGUACAGACAACCUCCAAUCAUACAGUGAUAUUAACCACACAAUCGCAAAACAUGACAAAAAAUGUACAAACCCAAACUAAGGAAAUGAUAACCGAGAACAAGGCUUUGAACCUUUUUUUGAAGGCUUGAACAGAGUAGCUUACAAAUUGUUCGAACGCGACGCGAUUUUCAUCAGUUCGAGGAAACCCAUCAAUCAGAAAUUUAUUGUUCUCAUUGGCCUCCAUGUGUUUAUGCAACAGCUUUACUGUGACUUCAGAAGGAACAAUCUUCCCCUCCUUGAUGGUAUCACAAAUCAUAGCCCUGAAAAAUAAAGGAAAAUUUCAUGUUCUGAUCAGAAUACUUGAACCAUAAUGCAAUCCACAUUAAAACAAGGUCAAAAUGAGUAAGAUAACAAUGCAAAUGUGCACCCAAUUUCAGUAUCAGAAGACAUCUCUCUCCUCAAGAGUUCUCCAGCACUAAGGUGUGAAAAUCCGAAGGUAUCAACGAUCUUUGAACAUUGAGUACCUUUCCCACUACCAGGACCCCCUGAAAAUACAUGUCUUAUUGUUUAGCUACAGAUAAAAGGAAAGACAACGUAUGCCACAUAAAAACAAAUACAACGGGAGCUCUUGGAGAACUUCAACACGGAAAAUGAAAAGAUAAUCAAGAGAUAGAAGCAAAGCUGAACUACACAUUCCAAACAUUCCGAAAAACUGUGCAUGGAACAGAGGACACAAGCAAGAUUCAGUAAAAUGAGAGAGAGAGAAAGAGAGAGAGAGAGAGAGAGAGAGAGAGAGAGGGAGAGAGCGAGAUUCAAAGAAUGUACUAUGAAUAACCCUUUAUUGAUCAGUCUUUCAAUAUCCAUGCACAACCAUAACAAAUCAAAUAUAUAAUCAACCAGGAAGAGUACUCCAGCCGCAGCCUAUUAAGAAGCCUACAGAUCAGCUUGGGGAGCCUUGUAAACCACAACCACUUGCCAUUAAUCCAGCAUAGACCCUCGCACUCUAAGAUACAUUGCCCCUAAACCUUCCUAUAAAACCUCAUCAAGAAGGUGGAAGAUUCCAGAAGGCAGAAGGUAUAACUUACUUGCCUGACUUGCAAUCAGCAGAAGUUCCCAGGACCCUUGAAAGGCGUCCUAGCCUACUAACAAGGCAAACGUGUCUUGUAGCAGUCCUCACUUUUCUUGUCCCCCCCAUCCUCAUCAUCCCUUCUUCAGAUGUAGUCAUCCCUACUUGAGAUGCAAAACUUGGUCUGAGCGCCCCCACUUCCCACACCCCACUAUUGCCUCCUCUUUUUCAUCCCUAAUCUCGUUGAUUAUCAACCUAAUAUGUUCUCCCAAAAUUGCUCUUUAGAAAACUAAAAAUUUCAUAGAUAUCCUACAUGCCUAUCAGUGAAAUUCUUUGUACUGAUGUCCUCGAUACCCCACAAGUAUCUUAUUCAGUCCUGAUCUUGGUGCCACUAGAGCCUAAAAGUUCCAACUCCACUGGCACUAAUCUGUGCUGCCAAUAUCCAGUCAAAGAUUUUUUUUUUUUUUUUGCACUGUACCCAUUCCAUUACACCUAUUUUUCGGACUGAAUGUUGAACUGAACAUUUUCAGAUAUAAGUUGCAUGCAACUGGUCAUCUGUGAUAGGGUGCUUGUGAUGAGCAUAUAAUUGUGAUUGUGUUUGUUAUGGUUAGAAAGAAGAAUUAUAGAGAAAAAAUAACGUAACUGUCCUUAUUUGUUUAGGCAUAAAUAUCAUAAGGAUUUAUAAUUGUAUGUAACGCAUUUUGAAGCAAUUUAGAAUACAAAGAUGAAGCGUUUGACCUUCACAGUGCCCUCUAAUCGUCUCCUCCUCCUGUCUUCUUAGUCUCCUCUCCACACAACAUAUUCACCCUUCAACACCCAUGGCCUCCCAUUUCCUUAUCUCAACCUUCCUUCAACUCGAGCCUACUACUUCGACCUCAUUCAUUUCAAUACCCCAUGACCUAUCCCUUCCUAAUGAUGAGGCCUACUACCAGCCUCUCUAUGCCUUAAUUGCUAACACAGCUCUCAUGAAUCCCUCCUCAAAACUUUAACCUUGCGUUCUUAUAUCUCCAUCGACCCGUAACUGUAAUAAUAACCCCUUCAUCUUCUGAGGAUAUUUCCCUGUUACAUCUGCGGAUUGACAGUAGCCCACACAACCCUCUUCCUCACUACCACUUCCGUUCAUAAAUUUUCCCAACUAUCAUCCAAUAGAAGUCCUAUCUUAAAUUCACCAUCCUCAACCCCGAACAAUAUUAGCUCCACGGUUAUCCCUCACAGCAAUUUCACCAUAGAAUGCACGAAGCACAAUAACUCCAACAAAAAAAGCAGCUCCAUGUAGUCCUCCUCUAUCUCCUGACAGCACAAACAAUCAUGCAAAAGCCACCUCACACCAAUACUAUCAAGGAAAACUGUGCCCUGAGCCAUUUAGCCUCCAAAGAUCCUAACUGAUCUCCCUAUCCAUGGUACGUCCACCCAUCCUACAUCCUCAUUUCCCACAGAUUUAGGAUCUGUUUGACAAAAAAGAAUCUGAUUAUUCAAUUUAUUUAAAAUCUCAAUAAAUGCAUUGCCCCUUUUUCAUUUAUUUGAAUUAAAUAUUAUUGUGAUAUAUAUAUAUAUGUUUGUGCUUGUUUGGCUGGAAAGCCACAUCUCACAAUUUCUCCUGGUGCAACAAAGGGUUUUUCAAAAGGAUAAUUCAAAGGCUCUACCUCCCUCAUCCAUUCAUCGUAUCACAGUCACAUGGAGAGGCUUUUGAUCAUCUCUCUCAGGCUCUCUCUCCCACUGACCAGACCUCUCUCUCUCCCACGCUUGUGGCCAAGAUAUCUGCCAACUUUAAGAAGCAUUCCAUACAUAUCGACGCAUGUCUAUUCAUGUCUAGAUAGAGAGAUAUCUGGUGGCCAAGAUGGAACAGGAGAAGGCCAUUUAAAUGGAGUGUCUAUAAGCAGCCCAUCUUUUUCUUUUGACAGAUUCUCUAAUGGUUGAGGAAGGAGGCAAUUCCCCAUCUCAAACUUCACCCUCUUCAUUUUAUUCACACAACAAAAGGAUAUGGGUCAAUCUAAUUAAAGCAUAACUUAAAGAGGGGAAGAGAGCAAGUUCUACCCUAGAGAGAAAGACGCAUGGCAAGUUCUACCCAAAAGAGAUAGAGAGGAGAGAGAGCAAGUUGAGAGAGAGAAAGAGGGUCCGUGGAAAGCCGCAAGUUUGUAUUUUCAAAAUCUUUUUAAAUUCAAGUCCCACCUGUUUUUUAGAAGAUAAUGAUUUUGGGGUAAUAUUCAAAUCUCAUGCGAUUCCGUAGGCUCUAUCAAACGUGGCUUUAACCAUAUCGUGUUAAAGAAUAUCUAAAUCUAGUAAUAUACUGGAAUAUCUGAAUAUUAUGUGCUUGCCAAACAUACCCUUAAGUAGCAAACAGCCUUUUGCUAUAAUUCCAUUGGUCAAAAUAUUAACAAGCAUUCAAUUGUCCUUGAUCCAAACCUUCAACCAUUGAAAAUCCAAUGCAAGAGGAAGAACUUACCAAUGAAGCACAACUGGUUUUACACACUUCUUAGAAAAAGGGGAAUUGAAACUCCCAGUCCUCUUCAAUUAAUUCCUAAUGGCAUUUCUUUUUCACCUGCACCAUUACAAACUUCGUUGCCCAUGUUUUCUAUAUCCUUUUAUGUUUCUCCGGCUCCUUCACAGCCCACCGUCUGGCAUCCCUCUAUUGUGAUCCAUUUUUAAUUUCCUUUCGGCUACCCCUUUGAUAAUAUACUGAACACCUAUCCCAUACUAACCAACCACUAGUUGCCCAGUAACAUGCACAACCAAUGCACAUGAUUUUUCUCUCAUCUGCUUUGAACUUUAAUUAUCAUUUCAACUCCUCCAACUGCAACCCACCUUUUCGUGCCUACUGCAUCUCUCUCUAAAACUUGUUUAGACUUGAAGAUACUUGUUAAGACAACCAAUGCACAUGAUUUUUUUCUCAUCAGGCUCCCCAAAUCUGUUAAGCCUAGAAGAUACUUGACAAGCUAGCUUGAAUCUCUCUCUAAAACUUGUCCUCUGAAAACCAAACGGCCCAUUUCCGGUUUCCAGCUGAUCUUAACCCUAGUUUGAGGGUAUAGAUGGGUGCCUUAGGCGCAGUUCCUCCUCAUUAUUGCAAGUCUAUUGUCUUUUUUAUUUUUUUAAUAUUUACUCAGCAAACUUGUUCUCGGUGAUGUUUAUGAAGAUGUAAAUAUGUCAAAUCCCCCACAAAAAAACACACAAAAAAGAAGGGCUCAAAUUGGCUUACUCAAUAAGCCAAAACAACCAACACCAUAAACGCGAGGGAAACAAUAUGAAGAUGGGAGAAGCCUCCACAAUGACAUGAACCCAUGAUAUGCCGUGUGAUAUAUGAGGAGCAACCUCAAAUUCUACAACUAGUGAAAAUUAUAAAUUAUUAAGAAAUCUAAAAUGCGAACAUUAGUAAAAUAAUGUUUACAGCAUGCAACUAAAUUAGUGAGACUAAAAUUAAGCUUCGUCACAAUCUAAGUACACACUGACCAAUGCACAUAAUCUUAAAUCCUGUGUAUCAAAGGUCAAUGCAAGGUGUAAUAUCAAACUACUGUUUUGCCAUGGUUUUUAUAAGCAAACAUACCUUGGAGAUCUCAGAUCCAUUGUCUUUGCUUCAUGUAAUCUAGGUUCUUUGUAUUCCAAAAGGAAGCCAACCCAAUGGAGAACGAGCAAACAAAUGAACGAAUAUCUAGGGACAUACUAGGAUUUUAGAAUUUCAUGCAACCUUGAUUGUCUUCCUUUAUGCAAUGUAGCUUUCAUGUCUUGCAAAUGAAAUUUAGUAGUUACCAAAAGAAAAAAACUAUAAGAUCAUAUGCUAUAUACAAACACAAUACAUCAAGAAACGGCCCAACUUGGCAUCUAAGCAGCACCUCGAGAUGAGGCAUGGGCAUAGGCAGGCACUGGGGGGAGGAUAAUUUAGCCCCCCAAACCCGUCUAAUAUAAAAUUUUGAGAAAAAAAAAAAACUUAUAUUUAAAUUUCUUUUAUGAAAAAAUUCAAUUGAUUGUACGUAUAGAUGCAGAUAUGUGUGCGUUUUUCAUAUGCAUAUACAAAAUAUUUGUAUAGUAGAAAUAUAUACAUACAUUAUAUAUAUGUACGUUUGUGAUGCACAUGUGUGUGUGUGUACAGGUGCGCGUGCACUUGCGCAUGUGUGUGUGUGCGUGUGUGACCCCUCAAAACGGAGCGCCCGCCAAUUGGAUAUGCAAUAUAAUGCCUUAAUUACAUGCUAGAAUAUAUUAUUACGUGCCUUAAUGCGUGCAAGUAGGUAAGCUCAUGUAUAUGUAGGUUUAUGUGGGAUUUCUGCAUUUAUGCACAUUAUUCUCAUAGCUUUAAAGUCUUAUCCAUUACCAGUAUAAAACUAUAAGAGAAGGACAACAUAGGCCUGAAGUUUUCUUGCAUGCCACAAAGAUGUAGGCGCCAUCUAUUUAAUUUCUUUAGAGGAAACUACAAGUAUGGGAAGACGAUUACACUCGGAAGACAUUCUAGGCAUAAUAGCAGGUUUGUCCCCCAAAUCUAAGAUUUAAACUAAAGCCACAAUGAGAGGAAAGCAUAUCCAAGGAUAAACGAGAAGGCAAGUAAGAGUGCAAAGUAAGAACAAUGGAAACAUUAUAAAAAACUCUUAGUCAUUAGAGUAUAUACUCACCUAAGACAAAAACUAUGUGCAAAUUUUUGUCCUCUAUACGUGCCUGAUCCUUUUCCUGCAUUCAAAUUAAAUACAUAACGAUCCUUGUGAAGGCAGAAUUUGCAUUUACUUUCCUGUAUAUAGGAUAUCAAAAAGUAAAAUUCCAAUCUAGGAACUUAAAUUCAAUAAAAAAUUGUGCAGUACUGACAUAAGAACAAAAAAUUAUCGAGCAACCCUCCAAGAAGCAAUCAUAUGGUGGAAGAAGCCUAGGCUAACCAUAUAAAGGAAUAAAUUUGGAUGAAUCAGCAUCUGAUAAAGAGAGCAUAUUAAAAUUUUCUCCGCAUUAUAGUUACAAUUGCAGUCAACACAGAUAAGGAUUUGCCAGAAUUGCUGAGUCCUAACUUGUCAACUGAAUUGCGGAUAACCAGUAAAGGAAUACUCAAACACCUCAAUAACCCCAUCAUCCAAAAUUCUUGUUGUGAAGACUUUUGUGAACUUCCAUGUGCAUGGUACCUACAACAAACUCAAGUCACAAGGACAAAGCGUAACAUAAGAAUGAAGCCAUCCAAUGUGGCUAGAAAUAUUAAACAAUCUAAAGCAUACCAUGAAAAAAGAUACUGGGGAUACCAACUACUCGCUGCAUGAGAAUGAAACCAACCUUUUUGAAAGUUUGUCUUUAAUUAAUGCCACAAGGACUAGAAAUCUAAAGAAUAGUAUGUAUCGUUCUGGAAAGUUGGCACUAGCUGAGGGAAAACAAAGCUCUAAUGAAAAAUUAAAUCAAGCAUGUACAAGAUUGUGGAGUGUUAGGAGAUUUACGCGAUCUUUUCAUUAUCAUCAUGAAAUUAAUUAACCCAAAAUUUAAAUCCAUUAAAAAAAUAAAAGAAUCAGUAAUAAUGUGCAUAGGAGAUCCCCAAAUGAACCAUCUUUAAAAAACAGAGAUAAACAAAAGCACUCAACAUACCCAUAUUAACAAGGAUCAAUUGAGAUGAUUUCCUAUACAUUAUCAUCAUGAUUAUCCGACCUUAUCCCAACCAUUUGGGUCGGCUCUACGAAUCCAGUUUCGUCAUUCCGCUCAAUUGAGGGCCAUACCCUGAAUCAAACGAUCAGUCAACAUAUCUUUUCUCAUUACUUCCAUCCAUGUCCUUUGAGGCCCUUCCCUUUUCAUUUUAGAGUCUUCCACUUGAACCAAAUAACCCCUCCUAGCCAAUAUUGUUUUAGGUCUACGCUGCACAUGACCAAACCACCUAAGUCUACUUCUCCUCAUUUUAUUGCCAAUUGGAGCUACCCGUAAGUUCCCUUGAAUAUAUCCAUUUCAAAUUCUAUACUUCCUUGUCUUGCCACUCAUUCAUCACAACAUCCUCAUCUCAGCUACUCUUAUUUUAUGGUGAUGUUUAUUGACCACCCAACAUUCUGUCCCAGAAAUCAAGGCUGAUAUCGCUAUCAUCGUAUGGAACUACCUCUUCAGUUUUAUUUGUAUGCGACAAUCACAUAAGACUCCAAUAGCACAUCUCCACUUCAUCCACUCAGCUCUAAUUAUGCGAGCAAGAUCUUCAUCAAUCUCUCUUUCACAUGGAUUAUCGACCCAAGACAUUGUAAAUAAUCACAUUUGGGUAUUUUUUUGGCCAUCAAUCUCAACUAAUUCUUCGUUUCUGCUCCUGUUAUUACUAAACUUGCAAUUCCAUAUAUUCUACUUAGUCUGGUUAAUUUUAAAACCUUUAGAUUCUAAAGCAUCCCUUCAAAGCUCUAACUUCACAUUUAUGCCAACUCUAGUCUCAUCAAUCACAACUAUGUCAUUUGCAAACCACAUACACCAUCCAGUAUAUGCCUAAUUAAUUCGUCCAUAACCAAAGUGAAAAGAUAAUGGCUCAAUGUUCACCCCUAAAGUAGGCCUACUAUCACUGAAAUCCUCACUUGUCUUUCCAUUAGUUGUCCUCAAAUUAGUUAGCGCUCCCUCGUACAUAUCCAUAACCAUAUCAAUAUAUCCUCUUGAGACUCCUUUCUUUUCCAACACACACUAAAUUAUCUCUCUAAGUGCCCUAGCGUAUGCUUUCUCGAAACCAAUAAAGACCAAUGGAAGCUAGGAUUGUAAGAGGUAAAAAGCCUAUACCAUAACUAAUUAAAUAUUAUUAUGUUUUCAAUUUCAGGUUAUCAAGAGUUGCCAUAUAAUCAAGUUUAUUUUGCUUUUUCACUUUUAGCUGCCCAUUAAUCUCCUAGUAAAAUUAGCUUUAUAUAUAUGUAGUUGUGGAAAUGAAUUAUACUGACCAAUCAAGAGGUUAUAAAAAUUAUCGCCUUGAAUUUGAUGGGAAAACUAAACAGAUGACAGUUGUAUGAUUAGGAAAAGCCCAAACUAUCAUCUUUGAACUAAAAAACAACAUAACGUGGACUAUUACAAAACAAGAAUUCCAAAAAAGGUAUAUAUAUGUUUGAAAGAAGAUAAAGGUUCCAUUCAACUAUUACAAGUUACCAAGCCCACGGCAAUUCCCUCUUUCCUAUUUGACCUGGUCUCCAAGCCUAAGAGCAAAUGAAGAAAAAGGAUCUAAUUUCACACAUUUGUCAAUGCUAUAAUGGUAAUAAAAUGCUUAUAAAGAUCACUCACAAUUAAAGAAUAACAAAUGAAAUCGAACAAAUGAACACUGUGCUAUAUAUGGAGCUCUUCCAUCCUCCGAAGGGAAAAUCCAUUGUCCAACAGUUGUUGAUUGUGUUCAUCGCAAAAUGGACACAAUUUGUGGACAAUACAAAUAGAAAACCGUACAAUGUCUCAUCACCACCAUAAGACAGUUCUAAGGUUGUGAAUUCCCAUGACGAAAGCUUCAAAAUCCUUCCUAGGAAGCAUUGUUUACCCAUGCAUGCAUACACAUAUCCAUUCAUGUGGAAACAAACCUUUGAGACUAGGUCGUAAUCACAGAAUGAACUAUUUUAUAUAAGACUUUCCAUAACGUAUUCAAUGGAACCCUAGAUCAAUAAUCAUAUGAAAUAACACAUGUAGUUUAUGCGCUAUCUACAUUUAUUUGUGUGCUAUCCAUUAUAUCUUUUUUUCUCUGCUUUUUACUUUUAAAAGAAAUAAAAUGGCUCUUCAAGUCAAGAACACUGCAGGUCAACUCCAAUCACCCAGGGCGUGAAUCCAUGUCAGACAUGGUUUCAAAUCACUUAUGUGCAGUAUGCGUCUCUUUCUCAUGCCUCCCGAGAGAGACUAAUGUCUAUGUAUGGCUGCCAUCCAAGGAGCCCCACAGGUUCAAACCACCUCCUUAAGUCAAAUUUUUCCAUCAAGUAGAUAAUAGUAGUUUUUCAGUGCGCACCGCAAUGCAUAUGACACCUUUUGCUAGGUGUCUUGGAAAAAGUCCAAAAAUCCCUUAAAAGCAUUUUGAUCCAUAUAGGCAGUAAAGAUAAUAAUAAUGAUAACUAAAUAAAAGAUAACCGUUAAUCACAAGAAAUCGCAUGUUCAAUCGAGAAGCUACACACUCUGCCUUCAUUCAAGAAAAUCACUAUCAUUAAGAAAAAUAAAAAACCAACUUACAUCAUGUCUCAGCCAUAACAAUAUAAAAUCCAACUGCAGUUCUUCAAGAAAAGAGGGGAAAUGCAUCAAAUUUUGAGAUCAACAAAACAAGCAGAUUUUCUUUCUGGGAAUGCACGGAUAAAAUGAUGAAUUGGUCGAAAGAAUUUAAAAUUAUAGAGCCAAAUGAACAGAUUUUCCAAAAUCUCUCCACAAAAGAGUAUUAUGGCCCAAGAAUUAGCAAACCAGCAUGAAAAAUAAGCAAACUAGGAUUGAUAAUGAGUUUCUCAAUCCAACGCAUUGAAUAAGAAGAAGAGUGAGAGUUGGGAACCUAGAGUUGAGUGGAUUUUCAAGAGGAGAGCAGGAAGUGAGAGAAAAUUGCUCGUCUCCAAUUUGCGCUUGGAAUUUAGAGAAAGAAGUGUUGGGUUUGAUGGAGUUUUUUUUUUGUGAUGAAUGGACCCAUUCCAUUCAUCCCGCCUUUAUAUCAGGGUUUCACAUCAUUGUAGGAAAAAUAGGGCGGUCCAAAUUCUAACCAUCCGCGUAGGCAGUUAAAUGGGAAUAGGCCACUGGCGGUUCUGAGUUAAGUUGGUUUUGGUGAACUGGUUGGAUAUUUAAAAAUAAAUUGAAAACAAUUAUAUAAAAUCUCAAAAAAUAAAAAUUUAUAAUGUAUUUUUCAAUUUUUUUGAAAAGAUUAGAAAUUCUUUUGACAAUUAAUACUUACUUUUAACAUUUUCCCUUUUUUUUUUGAAAAAUUCAAAAUUCCCCUAAACAUAAAUUGAUUUUUUAAAAUCUACUUUUUUUUUUUAUUAAUUUUCAACUUUGAAUGUACUUUGUUUAUUCAUGUUUUAAAAUAUAUUCGAUUAAGCCGGUUAAACCGACUGGUUUACCAAUUAGGCCGGUUGAAUCACUUUCUGCCUGAGGUCCAGUUAACCGUUCUGGUUCGAUUUUGCGUUUCACAUGUUUCAUAAAUUCCUGCUUUCUCGUUUCUUAUAACAGUUUGGGUCUCCGGAUCAUAGUAUAGGAGUAAUACUUCUGCUAAAGAUUUCCUACUCUCAGAGGAGUAUACUAUCUAUAAACUCCCUGGGGUGAAACUUAAGGUAGGAAUAUAUUUUAGAUCCCAAAUUUGGGGACGUGAUCUUUAGAACCAAGCAUCAAGCUCAAUGAAAAAUUUAAAACUCUCACACUUUACAUGUCCUAAAAAAUGGCAUCCCAAGAUUGCAUUAUAACCAUUUAAUUUUUGCAAGCAGGCAAUAAUCUAGAUAUUCAAGAACUUAAAUUCCAAUUUUUUUGAAAAUGAUCAACUAGUUAUAAUUGGAUGGAUUCCAAAAUUGUAAACCAAGAACAUCCUACCAAAUAAGACGCUAGAGAGCAAAUGUAUAGUAUCUCUCAACAGAGCAUAUUACACAUGCUUGCCUCCUCCUUCGUGUCUUCUUUGUUCUUAUAAGGGUGGCAUCAGGCCUGGCCUUUAUCCCAUAGGGCUGGCUGAGGCCCUAGCCAGACCAAUCCGAGGUAGGCUAAGGCAAAUAAAGAGAACUCCAGGGUAGGGCAAAGACAAAUGAAGAAAACAUUAUAUAAAAAAAAGACCUGCCAAGCCAAACCGCGCCGGCACUAGCCCUAAUGAAGCCCUCGAGCCAUAAUUUGUAGCCCACGCCUUACAUGUUUAGGGUUAUGUUGUCUGGCUCAUUGCGAGCCAACCAUAGGACGUGAGAGCAAUGUUUUGAAACCAAGCAAAUUAUUCUAUAGCGAUCUAUCAAGACCUCUUUCUUUUCGCAGCAUAUAUAUAUAUAUAUAGGGAAAAUAUUCUAUUAUUCUCUACUUUUAACUUCUAUAUCUCAUUAGACCCAAGAAUUGAAAAUAUUACUUGUACGCAAAAGGACUCCAUCUUUCAUNNNNNNNNNNNNNNNNNNNNNNNNNNNNNNNNNNNNNNNNNNNNNNNNNNNNNNNNNNNNNNNNNNNNNNNNNNNNNNNNNNNNNNNNNNNNNNNNNNNNNNNNNNNNNNNNNNNNNNNNNNNNNNNNNNNNNNNNNNNNNNNNNNNNNNNNNNNNNNNNNNNNNNNNNNNNNNNNNNNNNNNNNNNNNNNNNNNNNNNNNNNNNNNNNNNNNNNNNNNNNNNNNNNNNNNNNNNNNNNNNNNNNNNNNNNNNNNNNNNNNNNNNNNNNNNNNNNNNNNNNNNNNNNNNNNNNNNNNNNNNNNNNNNNNNNNNNNNNNNNNNNNNNNNNNNNNNNNNNNNNNNNNNNNNNNNNNNNNNNNNNNNNNNNNNNNNNNNNNNNNNNNNNNNNNNNNNNNNNNNNNNNNNNNNNNNNNNNNNNNNNNNNNNNNNNNNNNNNNNNNNNNAUAUGCUGCGAAAGGAAAAAUGGCUAGGACACUACCAUUCCAAAACCUUAAUGGUCCUGAUAGAUCACUAUAUAAUAAUUUGAUUGGUUUCAAAACAUUGCGCUCACAUCCUAUGGUUGGCUCGCAAUAAGCCAGGCAACAUAACUGUAAAAAUGAAAGGCGUGGGCUACAAAUUAUCGCUCGAGGGCUUUAUUAGGGCUAGUGCCGACGCGGUUUGGCUUGGCAAGUCCUUUUUUUUAUAUAAUUUUUUCUUCAUUUGUCUUUGCCCUACCCUGAGUUCUCUUUAUUUGCCUUUAGCCUAGCCUACCUUGGACUGGUCUGGCUAGGGCCUCAGCUAGCCCUAUGGGAUAAAGGCAUGGCCUAUUGCCACUCUUAUAAGAACAAAGAAGACACGAACGAAGCAAGCAUGUGUAAUAUGCUCUGUUGAGAGAUACUAUACAUUUGCUCCGUAGCGUAAAACACUUAUUUGGUAGGAUGUUCUUGAUUUACAAUUUUGAAAUCCAUCCAAUUAUAACUAGUUCAUCAUUUUCAAAAAAAUUGGAAUUUAAGUUCUUGAAUAUCUAGAUUAUUGCCUGCUUACAAAAAUUAAAUGGUUAUAAUGCAAUCUUGGAAUGCCAUUUUUUAAGACAUGUAAAGAGUGAGAGUUUUAAAUUUUUCAUUGAGCUUGAUGCUUGGUUCUAAAGAUCACAUCUCCAAAUUUGGGAUCUAAAAUAUAUUCCUACCUUAAAUUUCACCCCAGGGAGUUUAUAGAUAGUAUACUCCCCUGGGAGUAGGAAAUCUUUUAGCAGAAGUAUUACUCCUAUACUAUGAUCCGAAGACCCAAACUGUUAUAAAAAACGAGAAAGCAAGAAUUUAUGAAACAUGUGAAACGCAAAAUCGAACCGGAACGGUUAACUGGAACUGGGGCAGGAAGUGAUUCAACCGGCCUAAUUGAUAAACCAGUCGAUUUAACCUGCUUAAUUGAAUAUAUUUUAAAACAUGAUUAAACAAAACACAUUCAAAGUUGAAAAUUAAUAAAAAGAAAGUAGAUUUUAAAAAAUCUAUUUAUGUAUUUUGAAUUUUUCAAAAAAAACGGGAAAAUGUUAAAAGUAUUAAUUCUCAAAAGAAUUUCUAAUCAUUUUCAAAACAAUAAAAAAUUUAAAAAAUACAUUAUAAAUUUUUAUUUUUAUUUUUUGAGAUUUUAUAUAAUUUUUUUCAAUUUAUUUUUAAAUAUCCAACCAUUUCACCAAAAUCAACUAAAAUCAGAACCGCCAGUAGCCUAAUCCCAUUUAAUUGCCUAGGCGGAUGAUUAGAAUUUGGACCGCCUAUUUUUCCUACAAUGAUGUGAAACCCUGGUAUAAAGACGGGAUAAAUGGAAUGGGUCCAUUCAUAACAAAAAAAACACUCCACUAAACCCAAUCCCUCUCUCUCUAAAUUCAAAGAGCAAUGUGGAGACGAGCAAUUUUCUCUCACUUCCUACUCCUGAAAAUCCACUCAGCUCCAGGUUCCCAGCUCUCACUCUUCUUUUUCUUAUUCAAUGCGUUGGAUUGAAAAACUCAUUAUCAAUCCUAGUUUGCUUAUUUUUCAUGCUGGUUUGCUAAUUCUUAAGCCAUAAUACUCUUUUGUGGAGAGAUUUUGGAAAUCUGUUCAUUUGACUCUAUAAUUUUAAAUUCUUUCGACCAAUUCAUCAUUUUAUUCGUGCAUUCGCAGAAAGAAAAUCUGCUUGUUUUGUUGAUCUUAAAAUUUGAUGCAUUUCCCCUAUUUUCUGCAAGAACUGUAGUUUGAUUUUAUAUUGUUAUGGCUGAGACAUGAUGUAAGUUGGCUUUUUAUUUUUCUUAAUGAUAGUGAUUUUCUUGAAUGAAGGCAGAGUGCGUAGCUCCUCGAUUAAACAUACGAUUCCUUGUGAUUAACAGUUAUCUUUUAUUUAGUUAUCAUUAUUAUUAUCUUUACUGCCUAUAUGGAUCAAAAUGCUUUUAAGGGAUUUUUUGACCUUUUCCAAGACACCUAGCAAAUGAUGUCAUAUGCGAUGUCAUAUGCAUUGAGGUGCGCACUGAAAAGCUACUAUUCUCUACUUGAUGGAAAAUGGAAAAAUUUGACUUAAAGAGGUGGUUUGAACCUGUGGGGCUCCUUGGAUAGAGCCAUACAUAGACGCUAGUCUCUCUCACGAGAGAGACAUGACAAAAAGACGCAUACUACACAUAAGUGAUUUGAAACCAUGCCUGACAUAGAUUCACCCACUAGGUGAUUGGAGUUGACCUCUAGUGUUCUCGACUUAAAGAGCAUUUUCUUUCAUUUAAAAGUAAAAAGCAAAGAAAAAAAGGUACAAUGAAUAACACACAAAAAAAUGUAGAUAGUGCAUAAACUACAUGUGUUAUUUCAUAUGAUUACUGAUCUAGGGUUCCAUUGAAUACGUUAUGAAUUACUGAUCUAAGGUUCCAAUGAAUACGUUAUGAAAUGUCUCAUAUAAAAUAGUUCAUUCUGUGAUUACAACCUAGAAUCAAGGGGAUCCACAGUAGGGUAGAUACCAACACCAGCACCACCGAAGAGCCCAAUCUUUCCACCACGCUGGUAAGGUGCCAACAAGUCGAUGACCUAAAAGUACCAAUAGUGGAUAAAUCAAACAGGCCUCAAAUAUAGAUUUAUUCUUGUUAAUGAAAAGACCUACAAUGGAGAUAAGAAGCAGAAAAUUGUAAGCAAAAAUUGCAAAUAUAUCAAAAAUCUCAAUAGUAGUCAAUUUUUAGUCAGGAGUACAAACCCAAAUAGUCACGAAAAUUUUUAUGUCACAUUAAAAGCGAAGGAAACUCCAACAAAUGGAUCAGAAUCAAUAGAUAAGAAUUAGAACAGACCUUGAUGCCAUCAACAAGAAUCUCUUGCUCAGUUGCUUGUUCAACAAAAGGAGCUUCACGAUGGAUAGGCAAAUAGUGAUCAGUCUCUGAUGCAGAAAUAAGACAUAAAAAGAACAAAAAAAUAAGAAAAAAUUUUAGUUAUUAGAACACUCGUUAGGAAAUGGCAAUGCCGAAUGGGGAAUAGUAAAUAGACGCAAACUAUUUGAAGAAACAAACUUAUUUCACCCCUAUCGUCAAUGGGUUCCCCAAUGACAUUGAUAAUGCGACCAAGUGUAGCCCUACCCACUGGUACCUGUUAAAAAAAAAAGAAAAUAAUUCGGCAAUCAACACAAUGACCAGUUGCAGAUAAACAUGGUUAUCUAUAAAAAGAUAAAUCUAUAAGUACAAAACUUUGCUAUAUGAAACCAUACAUCUAAACGAGAGAGAUAGAGAUAAGAUCAAGCAAUUUGGAUCAGCACUAUCUAUAAGCGAUUGAAACACUACCAAAUAUCACAUUUUUGCAUACUGAUCCAGACAGUCCAUUACACCAUAAUCACACUAUUUCAGCCUGCAUACUCCAAACAAAUACAAACACCAAUACAUCCCAGCUAUACUCCAACAAAUACAAAGACCAAUCCCUCCCUCCCUCCCUCACAGAGGUAGGGCAGUUAAAUAGUGGUGGAUCAUCUCUCUCUCUCACCAGCACACAAACGAAAAUGAAAAUAAAACAUCAGGAGAAAAAAAAACCUAAUUUUAAAAAGAUCAACUCAAGAACAAAACCCCAACUAACCUUGAUGGGAGAACCAGUGUUGAGCACCCUCUGGCCCCUGACAAGCCCAUCAGUCCCAUCCAUAGCAAUGGUCCUCACCAUUUUCUCCCCCAAAUGCUGAGCCACCUCCAAAACCAACCUUAUGGAGUUAUCCAAAACCUCCAAUGCAGUCAAGAUCGGAGGCAACCCCUCAUCAAACCUCACAUCCACCACUGCUCCAAUCACCUGACAGACCUUCCCAAUGGCUCCAGCCCCCGUGAACUCAUCAGUGAUCGUACCAAGAGGUCCAUAUUUACCAAUACCGGGAGGAGUUGCUACAGGGGGUGGAGGCGACGGAGUUGCAGCGGCCGAUGUCGCAUACUGUGCAACUUUGUCGAGAAGAAGGCCCGAAGAAGAUGAUAUCGGCCUGUAAAGCUCUGGUCCUCUAUUGAUGAGGCUCGACGGUUGAGAUCUGACGGUUUUGGCACCCCUGAUGAGAGAGGACAGGGCUCUACGGUAUGCCAUUAGGGGAAAACCCUACCCCUGGUUUUUUGGAGUUGCAAUAGAGAGACAAAGUGAGGAGAUCAGAGUAAGGAAAGAUAUAAAGAGAGAAAAUUAGGGUUUUGUGUUCAGUGGGGAAGAUGGUGGCGAAGGGAUUGACGGCAGUCCAUGGAAGGAGAGGAAGAAGAUAGAGAGAGGAAUGGCGGACGCCAAACGGUUCGUAAAGGCGUUUUAGUAGGCUGACUUUAUGGGGGCGUGGAGUCCGCUUUGUUGGUCCUCUUCUUUUGGGGUGGGGGUGAGUGCUGUUAAAAUUAGGUUUCCUUCCAAAUGUUUUCAAAGCAUCUGUCUUAUUUUCAGCCGGAGUGUACCCUUUUUAUUUGCAGAUAUGUAAGGUUUGACGUAUUUACCAGGGAAAAGUUCAUAUACGCUCUAAACAAACAAAUUAUAUUUUUAAAUUGAUCAUCUCGACAUCAAGAUGCAUAGACAUAAGAAAAAAAGAUAGAUUUUAAGUUUCGAAAAUAGUGUAUUUUGUAAUGCAUUUUUGGAACGUCGAUUUUCAAGAUUUUCAAGUUUUCAUAGAUUUAUCGAUCUACACUAUUUUUGAAGCUUUAAACUUUAUAAAUAAAAAUAUAAAUAUAUUUUAAGGCGAUUUUCAAUAGUGAAACCACAUUUCUCGAUACUAUUUGAAGGUAGGCUCUAAUUUGAUUGUUUAGAGCUAGGCUUAAACAAUUUGUUCCUUUAUCAUAUAAAGGUUAGGCUCACUUCUAUACUUGCUUAACAAUUUUAGUGCCAGACACGUUUACAAUAACCUAAAAAUCUAUUUCUACCCCUAAUCACAAAAUCAAUAACCUAAAAAUCUAUUUCUACCCCUAAUCACAAAAUUAAAGUGGUACAAAUCAAGCAAAUCUAUAAACACAUUCUAUAAACCGAUAUACCAUUUAAUAUGUUACAAGACACUCUUUUUUUCAUAUCUAUACUUAUCGAAGUUAAGAUGAUCAAUAGGAAGGUUUCACAACAUGAAAAGAAUAUUUUUCAAUGUAAGCAUAAUCUUUUCCUUUAAAAAAUGAAUCCAAAGGCUAAAUUGAUCGCAUGACAGGAUGAUACAGAUCGGCAAAUCAAAAAGGAAUUAUAAAAAAUAAAUUAAAAAAGUAAAAGUAAAGCGCACCUCCAAAUUUUAAUAUAAAUAUAAUUUUAUGUAAAAAAUUGUUAGGAUGGCUUGAGAAUACAUUUUCAUAUCUAAUUAUAAAAUCUUAAACUCCAAAAAUAGUUCAGAUCAAGUAGAUCUAAAAUCUUGAAAACAGACGGUCCAGACAAUGUGCUGCAUGAUAAACUAUUUAUAGGACUAGAAAUUUUUCUUUCAUAUUCCCUACAUCUCGAUAUUGGGAUGAUCAAUUAUAGGGUUUUCCAAAAUCAAAAGGAACUUUUAUGCGGGAUUUUUGAGGUGCACUUUAAUUCUACAUUUUAGGUUGCAACCUUGUAUAAACUUUUUCCAUUAUGAAAACGUUUUCACUUAAACAAGGGCAUUUAAAUCGUUUAUGUGAUUCUACAAGAGGUUUUCAAAUGAAAGGAUCCAUCAAAUGCAACAAAUUUGUAGAAGAAAUGGUUGAUUUCACCGCCUCAUUGAACUUUUGAGGUGGGUUGACCAUUCUAAAAAUAUUUCCCUUUUUUAAAUUUGAAUGGUUGUCCAUGUGAUUUCAUGAGAUCAUCGUAUCUCACGCUUUCACUACAGAGACGCUGGUAAUUUAGAACCCAAAUCAAUUAAUAGACUUUGCUAUGUUAAUGUGGCUGAAAUGCUUCAUAAACAUCUCUCUCUCUCUCUGUAAAGAUCACCUUUACACCGUCGUGCACUUCUCUUUUCAAUUAAAUUAAAUUUUAAGGUAACUUUUCUACGAAAAAAAAAAAAAAAAUUCACACUGUAACAUCUCAUGGAAAACAAAUAAGAAAACACCAUAGCAAGGCCAUUUAAUGCUCCAGCAGGAGGAAGUUAGGUUUCUUCAUGUUACCAAAAAGAAAUUACAACAAGAACCAAGCAUAUGGAUUUCAACAUGGAUAUGACAUAUUGUUUCACGACGGCUCAUGCUUAGCAUCACACUGAGAAGAGGCGGUAAUCCAUGGUACUGGUUCUUAGAGACGAUGUUUACAAACAUAGUUGUAUCAACAAGAAAAAAAUUGCAGGCAUUUUAAUAGAAACCAACUUAAAACAAAAUGCAGAGAUUUAAGCUCUAAAGCUGCGACUCUUAUCCCCUUUAUCUUUCAAGAAAUAAAUAACAGAAGCAUACAUUUUGUGUGGCCCAAUCAAUAUUUGAUGUUAAGUAGAAAAUCUGCACUGAGAUGCAUGUGCCUUUAUUCCUUCAUGUCAGUAUGCAUUCCUAUGGAAGCAUGAAUUAGGUUAGGUCUGAUCGUCCUGCCUAUAAUGGAGCAACGUUAAAGCACUGCAUUUCAGUAGGGAACAAAAAGUACAUAAGGUUUCAAUAUUUACGGAUCAACCAGUAAUAGCAGACAACGCUAGUCAAUUCAUCAACUACUAAAUAUCGAUAGGAAUCUACAUAAAGCAUCAGGGUAUUUUGCAAAUAGAAUGAAAUCAAACUAAGUUUUGCUAUCUAUCUUAUGCCAUAACCUAUGUAACUGCCAUAGAAAAGGUUAAGGUGCCAAUUCUAGAAAUUCUGAUUUUCCCAGAACAUGCAGCAGUCACAUCCUUGAGGAUCACCAGUAAAACCCAGGCUCUUCAUACUCUAAAGUGGAACAACAAAUAAAGCUAAACACUCCAACGGGAUGGCCAUGCAUCCAAAAAAUUCAAGUAGCAGACCAAACAUGUUCAAAGUGUCCCUCCAAUAUCAAGAGCAAUAAUAACUAUUUAUUCAGUGGACUUCAAAUGUCCCUGAAUCCUAACUGGCCAGGACCAAAGAGAACCAUUCCCCACGAUACAUUGAUCUGCUAACUAUAGAGCUGUAUAACUACGUAAAUAGAGAAAAAAAGAAUAAUUGUUUAGCUAGAAGCCUCCUCCAUGAGCGCAUUAUGUUGAAGGCACACCAACCUGGGACAAAACAGCCCCCAGUGCGCAAUGAUCCAUUGUCCUCAAGAAAGUGGUUACCACAUUUAGUCAAGUUUGUCCCCUAUACCACACGGCUUUAUGCCAAUUAAAGGUAGGCCAUUGGAAGCAUCCACAUAAUUGGUUUCUACUCUAUAUAUAUAUAUAUAUAUAUAUAUAUAUAUAUAUAAGAUCUUAUCAAGGCACAUCGUAAGGACACACACACACACAAAGACGCACAUGCAAAAACGCACACAGGGCUAAUCAUUCUCAUUCGAUAAAAAUAGUAUCAAAUGUUCAAUUUCUUCAUGUCUUUCUCAUCAAAUGCUUAGCUAAUAGCAUCCACAGACUUGAACAGGUAGAGUGUUCGGACAAAUAGAAAUCUGAAACUAGCUAUCAAAUAUUUUUUGGUUUCAAAGGCAGGGUAAGAAACCUGAUAUUUAUUUCAUGACAAGCGUUCGAGAAUCGCACAAAGCUUCUUCAACCCGUGAUGAGUUGGCUUGGCUUUAUGCACUACUAACAAAUGUUGGAUUUCAAAGCAGUCUUCAGCAUGUAGUGAGAGAAUGGUCUCUCUCUCUCUCUCUUUAUUGUGUGUGCAUAUGCACAAAAGAGAAUGGGCUGUUAAAGAAGCUGCGACAAUGAAAAGGAGUAAGAGGGAGGGGACAAAGGGGUUAGGCUGAAAGAUUGGGAAGUGGUUAAAAUUGAGCAGACAAAGAGGGAGAGAUAGUGCUGACACUGUGUGUGUAUGUGUCAGAGAGAGAGAGAUAGAGAGGUUUAUGAGAGGGGAAGAGACUGUGAGUGGGAUAAAAAAAAAGAAAUUGGUAAAACAGUGCAAAAAUUUCUCCAGUAAGUUGUCGGAGAUGUAAAAUCAAGGGGGAAAGGGUGGAAGGGGGAGACAGUGUAACUCAAGUAAAAUCCAUGAGAAAAAAUAGACGCAUACACUUACAACUAGGAAAGUCCUUUGGUGCUUCACAGAUCCCCAAAACCGGUGCUGCUCUAAACUGAUCCACCACUUUAAAUUGGCUGAGAUCCAAGAAAAAACUCCAAAGGAAGAUCUGAAAUGGAUGCCAAAUCCACCAUCCAUUCAAAUGGGCAGUCCAAAUAUGAAUCUGGGGUGGUGGAUUUGGAGCAUUUAUGGAGCUCCAAAUCAAAUCUUUUGGAAACUGAUCUGAAACUCUUUUGGGUCCAUCCGAUAAAAUAUUGUUGGAUGAGGUGGAGGAACAACAAUUUUUGAUGGUUUGGGAACCGCUGAAUACUUACCCUAUAGAAAUACUAGCCAAUGACACAGGCAUUGCCCGUGUGGCAAAAGCAAGAGACAUCCUAGCAGAAGUCCUUUUCUUCUAUCAUUAACUAAGUUCAUUAAUAGCAAAAUUGACAUACAAAUCGUAUCUCUCUUUUCUUCACAUGAGUGGCUGUGUAUAAAGGCUCUAUGAUUUGACCAGUGUUCGCAAAAUCGGCCAAUCUAACCUCUAACCGCUAACCGCCCGGUUAUAUCAGAACCUAUUUUGGGCGGUUUUGUGAUCAACCGAUUUCUUAAAGUUUAAAUAGAAUACUACUUCAUAUUUAUAUCAAAUAUUUUAGAAUAGCGUAUUGGUUAGUGCUGGCGACGAUAGUUUAUACGGACCACGGUUCGAAUCCUGCCAUUAGCGGUUUUCUUUUUAAACAUUGGUGUGGUUCAUUUUAACAAUUCUAAGAAUUCAUUACAAUGAUAAGAAGUUCAAAAAAUUUACUUGCCCACAUGAAUCGAACUUGAAAGUUCUUGUAAAGAAAUAAUUUGUUAUUAAACCCUUACAUUGGUAAGAAGUUAAAAAACUUUACUUGCCCACAUGAAUCGAACAAACUUGAAAGUUCUUGUAAAGAAAUAAUUUGUUAUUAAACCCACUAAUCAAUGCACCAUAUACAAAUUAGUUGCCUAUUAGAUCUAUUAACCAAUAUGUCAUUUACUACGUAUUUACAAAAAUAAUGGUCUAUAUUGUAUAUAACUUAAUUUUUUUUAUUUUCUUUUAAAAAAGUGUUGGUCAAGUCGAUUUUAUAACACUAUUUUAAUAUUAUUUACAUUAUGGUAAAGAAUAAAAAAAUUAUGGUCAUUGAUACUCACUUUUAUAUUUUCCCAUCUUUUUAAGAAAAUUUUAAAAAUACCCAUGGCACAAAUCGAUUCGUUAAAAUCCAUUUUUUUCAAUAAUUUUCAACUUCAUUUGAGUGUGUUUUGUUUUAAUCACAUUCGUUAUAUGAUUUUCAUAUUUUAGUAGAUUUUGUUUGUAUCUUUUCUAUUUUUUUCAACACUUUUUUUAUCGUUCGAGACUUGCCCGGUUACAGCUGUUGAAUCGGCCGGUUUACCGAUUAGACUUGUUAAACCGCUUCCGGACCCCUGUUUGGUUAACCGUUCCAGUUCAAUAUUGCGAACACUGGACUAGACACACUAAUAAGAAAACCAAGUUACCACCAUUUGUGCCUAAGAAUUCCUUUCUUUGCCACUGCAUCUGCCUCUUGAUUGGCUUCUAGCUAAUGUGAUGAAAGGUAAUCUGCCUAUUCCUGAUCCAAUCCUUAAUCUCUUGAAAACAUUAGGCAAUCUCCACGUACAAGACAGCAGUCUCCUUCCCCAUCCUAUGAUAUUACUGGAAACAAGAGGCAUGAUUUUCGAAUUCGAUUUCUCUAUAGACAACAUAUAUCGAUGCGAAUAAUCCCAUACACUUAUAGGUAUUUAUCUCUGUAGCUAGCACGACAAAAACGUAUUAGGCCAGAAAUUACAGGAAUCCCUCCCAAACAUUUUAGAGGCUACCUCUCUCUUGGAAAGCUGCUAUUCCCCGUAAAUUGCUUAGGUUUCUCUUUCUUACCACAGCUGUGGCACAACUUAGAAAUAGAAUUAAAAUACCAGUUCUAUCAAAGGCAUCAGGAAAAGGAAUUAUGUGGCCUUUCAAACUCUGAUCUCGGUAGUCGGCAUAACAAUAGUAGCAGACAUACCCCGAUCAAGGGCAAUCUUUUUUUUAGAACCCGCCCACCCUCAAAUCUAAUUUUGAUGGUACUUCUAUUGGGAAACCCAGACAUGCUGGAAUUGGUGGUGGCAGUUUCUUAUAAAAAAGUGGAGAGUCAUUAGUUUGAUCUUGGAUCCAGUUGGCAUCCGGGACUCCAAUGAAGUAGCAGCCCUUGCCCUUUUCAUAGGGAUUUGCUUCACACCUCGAAAUGGAACUCUAUCAUCAUAGAAGGCAUCUCUUCUAACAUCAUAGCAUUGACAUCGGAAAUUUCACCAUGCUCAUGCCGACUCUCAACCAUGAUCGAUGAAAUAUUGGACGGAUGUAGAAACACAAGUCAAUUUUGUGCAUAUCUGCGCAACACUCUGGCGGAUUCUUUAGCCAGUGAGGGGUUCUAAAGACUGGAAUUAUUUAUCUGACUCUCCUCUUUUAGCUAUCUUUUGCUUCUUAACUUCUCAUUUUCCGUAUCAAAGAGGGAUUUUGCCCACGAAACACAUGAUCAGCUAAUAAGGAAAAAAAGGUCUCUUUUUCUUGCCCUAAAUGUCAUAUCCUAUCCCAUCCCCAAAUCUCUUCUCCCAAAUCUCAUAUCAGAGUUUUAUCCUUUCUAUCCUGUAUGAUUCACCUGUUCUUAUCUAAAAUCGUUUUCCAAAUCUCAUAACCUACUUCUUCUCAUCUUACAAGGUAUCUCAUAUCUCUCAAGGCAAUGCCAUUUUUAAAGAAAAUCUCCUCAAAUCUAGGUAUCCAAAUUGGCCUACUUUAGGGUCUCCAUCCUAUCGUUUCUCUAAGAAUAAGGGGCUCUCCUUGUUGAAUGCGACAAGUCCAAAUCUUAACCAUGACUUAAUAAAUGUAAGCGUAUGUGUGUGUGUGUGUAAUGUUGAGUUGCUCGGCACUUCCCAUCCAAAGAGUUACUGAACAGAUUGGUCUCGAAAAAGUCAGGGUGAACAUUUCUGAAGAUGCAUAUCCAUUUGAUGUGACAUGCAUAGGUGUCCUUGUACUCAAAACAUAUCUAUCCAUGUUUGACAUGUGCACCUGAUGUGCCUUUGCGUCUAAAAAAUUGUCCAAAUUAACAACACGGGUCUGAUUUUGCUAAUGAUGUGAAAAUCAUGUCCAAUAUUAACAUGCCAUGUUUGGAAGGACCCAAAUAAAGGGUAGACUUAGUAAUACAUAUUUCACGUGGCACCAUGCAUGUCUACCAGGUUCUCAUAUACAAGUAUCCAUCCUACAUUUUGGUGUCAAAAAUGCAGAAACAUGUCUGACAUGAAUGUUCAUGAAUAAUGUUACAAGGGAUCUCUGAUAGUUGGUUUUAGUUAUUGGUUCGGCCACUAUGUUGAUGUUAAGAAAGCUUACAAAAUUGGCUGGAGGGGAAUCCCCAUCUCAACUCAUAACCAUAAAAAUGAAUAUAUGUUAACAAAAAAAUCUCAAAAUGCAACAUAGCCAGCUAGUUCUUUAAACGCAAGCUCGUAACAUCGAAGUGUCCCUAAACGUUUCUAGCACAAUGUCUCUACGGCUUGGCCAAAUCAAAGCAUAAUAAUCAUUGGGGAUUUCCAUAUCAUUUUCAAACAAGUAUAACAACUAAGUUAUAUAUACCUCAUAUGCAACAAAAUGUGACCGAAUAUUGUCAAAAACCUCAUCUAUCGUUCCCACUGCAUUGAUCUGCAAAUAUAAGAAACACUUAAUUCAACAGGAUACACUGCCCAAUUUUUCAAGCUAGUCUCUGUGUUACAGAAGCUAACAAUACUAGGGACAUUUAGUUUAUAAUUGAAAACAAGCGCAUAAACAAAUAGAAUCCCUUUGUUUCCAGUUACAAAAGAAUGAGAAGGCAAGAGAUCCAAGAAAACUAUUUAUGAUAUGAUGCAACCAAAGAUCUGUUAUUUGUUGAGAAAUACUCAGCAUCAAAACCAAAGUUUGUCAACCUUGGAUGAAAGACAACAGAAACAAGAAGAAUCAGCACGAUGGUCGAAGUUGAUAAUGGAGACAUUUGUCUUUGUGGUCAUGACAUUUGAAAAUUUGCAAUUUAAGUAUUUUUAGGUAGGGUAUAAUGAAAAUUUUGAAUAAUCUGGUCUUUGUUGCAAUUAGUCUAGCCUUUUCCACUUCAGAUACAAAGUGUUGGGAAAACAAUGUAUUCUUUUGGGACAUUUGAGUUUCCAAUGGAUUGCUAGAAUUGUGGAUUAAGAAAAAAAAAAAAAAAUUCAAUCCGAUACUUCAAUACGAGAAAUGUCAAUUUGGGAAGACAUCUUGGAAACCUUGUUGAUGGAAUUGCAAUUGAUCAAGUCAAACUUGAACUUGUUAUAGCAAAAUAUAUCCAGCUAAAAUGUAAAUGGAUAUUCAAUAAUUCUGGGUGGAUGGCCUAAUUCAUUAAUCCAGUAGAGCAAUAUACUGGUGGAGGAUUAAUAAUAUUCAUAACAAGGCAACUUCGUAUCACAUUCAGCGACUGCAUCUUCAAAUGAAUAAUGCUAGAAUUUUUUUAUCAAUUAAAACAUAAAAUAAAAAUUAUUUUAUAAAUUGGGAUGCAUACUGAUGACAAAUGACUCAACACUUACAUUGGAAUUGGAAAGUAAUGUACAUAAAUUACAUUGAGGGUUUUGUAGAAUUUGUUUAUUCUUUUUCUUUUUCUCUUUCUUUCUUAUGCCCUUUCAUAUGUUUGGUGGUAAUUGCUAAAUAUUACUCCUUAACUUUAAAUGAUUAUAUGUUGUGUUUUAGUCCAUAUAAUUUGAAUUCAUGGUAAAUGAUCCAUUAACAACUACAGUUAAAAAAAAAUGAUCCAUCAACAACUUGUGCAUUCUGGCCCAAAGAACUCAAACCUUUAACAUUAACACUAGCAUCAGAAGUACAAUCAGUACAACCAUGUCAUAAAAGCAGCCAAUCACAUGAUGGUUUCCUACUUUCCAUUGCCCAUAACAUUUAAGGUAGUUAACAUGAAAAAAAGAAAAAGAGGUUGCAGCC